GGAAAAAGGGAGUGGCCAGCACUGUCAGAGACACAAAGUUGGGAGCCGCUGUGGGGAGAUGGCCACGAAGGAAGAAAAUAUUUUGCCGUUACUUCUCUCUGCCUCCAAUUCUUCAUCUGUGAAAGGGGGGUAUAGGAGCACUGCCUCACGGGCUGGUUGUGAGGCUAAAACAGCGUGGCAGCCUAACAAGCACUUAGAACAGUGCCGAACGCCUGCAAGUCCUCAGUAGGCUGGCUCUUUUUCUUACUGCAACUGAUUGGGCAAGUAAUGGCAUCAAAUUCUAGGUCUGAAAAUAAGCUUGGUAUUACGAAGUUAAGAUUAAAAUCUCCCUGCAAAAAUGGAAUAUUGGAGAUCUCCUAUUUAUCAGGUAACUCUGAAAUCACUCCGGGCUUUUUUCUUUAAAAGCUUACAAAAACCCAUUUCAGAACGAGGGAUGCACUUACCACAACCAAAUCUUACUAGGUCACUGGAUGAGGUUCACUAGGUCUGCCAGAACAAAGUACAGACCGGGUGGCUUAAACAACAGAAAUUUUCUUAACGGUCCUGGAGGUUAGAAAUCGGAGAUCAAGGUGCCCGUUCUCCUUGGCCUGGAGGUGGCUGCCUUUUUUCCUCUGUGCAUCUCUGUGUCCCGAUCUCUUAUAGACCACUAGUUAUAGAUUAAGAUCAUUGUAGACCUCAAUUUUACCUUUUUUAAAGGCCAUAUAUCCAAAUACAGUCACAUUUGAGACCCUGAGGGACAGGACUUCUGCAUACAAAUGGGAAGGGGUGACAAAAUUCAGCCCAUAAUAGGCAUUUAAGAGUAGAAAUUAACGUUAGCCUUUGUGUGAAAAUUAAUGGCUAAGAAUUUGAGACCUCACUAUACAGUGUAAGCGAAAGGAAAAGGGCACAUUAAAAGAGGUCUUCUCAGGUCAGGUGGUGGCGUCCUUUUAGCCCUACUUUGACAAUGUAUUGCAGCAGCUAGGCAAGCACCGCCCUAUCUGGGCGUGUAUUCCCUGAUUCAACAGAAACGUUGGGCAAAUACUGUAGCUUUUCAAAGAAGGGGUGUGUCUGGUGCUGUGGUGUGGUUACUUCAUAAGAAACUCAAAACCAGAGGCUUUCUCCUCCACACUGUACCUUUCAAUCAACACAGUCUGGUGUACGGUUGAGCAUGACAAUUUAAA